CAGUCGCCGCGGUAAUACGGAGGGGGCUAGCGUUGUUCGGAAUUACUGGGCGUAAAGCGCACGUAGGCAGCUGUGUAAGUCAGAGGCGAAAGCCCGGGGCUCAACCCCGGAAUAGCCUUUGAGACUGCAUAGCUUGAACACGGGAGAGGUGAGUGGAAUUCCGAGUGUAGAGGUGAAAUUCGUAGAUAUUCGGAAGAACACCAGUGGCGAAGGCGGCUCACUGGACCGUUGUUGACGCUGAGGUGCGAAAGCGUGGGGAGCAAACAGGAUUAGAUACCCGGGUAGUCCCUGUCUCUUAACA
rnacentral:rRNA from 1 species